rnacentral:misc_RNA from 1 species
CGAUGCGACGACCAGGGCCGUGGCGAGUAAGGAGCUGGGCGACAAGGCGAAAUUCGGGCUGGAACUCGCGACAACAAGGAGCAGGACGCGCUGCGAGCUGGAGCUGGAACGGAGGAGUAGAUACAAGUUCUAUGGUCAGACCAGCGAGCACAAGGGAGAGUUGGAACGGAGGGAGCAGGGGCAAUGGCCUGCAGCACGGAGCCCUUCCUUGCCAGGAACUGUGGGUGCUGCGUGGACAGCAGCUUGUCCACGGCGGUCGGGUCCUGCUGCCCUAGCGCCAACGCCAGCACCUUCUUCCCAAUGGCCUGCUGUGGAUGACGCUGGGAACGGCUAGAGCCUGUGCGGCCAGCAGCCAGCAACGGAGAGAAAGCAAGCC